rnacentral:lncRNA from 1 species
GUCUGCCAGGAGGUACCUGGAACUCUACUUUCUCUGAAACUCUCUGGCCUUGAGAUCAAUGAGUUCAAUUUCAUGUCAUGUAGAUGUUUUGUAUCUCUUACUUGAAGUUCGAAGGCAUAUAAACGAGUAAUGUAUACUCCUCUUUAUCAAACACGACCAUAUUAUGGUUUUUAUGGUCUGGUUUUACAUCUCACCUUAACUUCAUGUCUGCAAUGUCUAUUAGAUUGAUAUCUUUCAAUGCUUUUUUGGGUUAAUUGAAGAUUCUGAUGGUGUUUUGUUAUU